ACUAAAACAUGCAAGUCGAGCGCNNCCAAGCUAUGGUGAAGGCGCGGCAAACGGCUCAGUAACACGUGGCCAACNUACCCUUGGGACGGAGACAACCCCGGGAAACUGGGGCUAAUCCCCGAUAGGUAAGGAAUCCUGGAAUGGAUCUUUGCUGAAAGGGCGUCUAGACCAUGCUUCUUGACGUCGCCUAAGGAUGGAGCCGCGGCCGAUCAGGUAGUUGGCGAGGCAACGGCUCACCAAGCCUAUAACCGGUACGGGCCGUGAGAGCGGUAGCCCGGAGAUGGGCACUGAGACAAGGGCCCAGGCCCCACGGGGCGCAGCAGUUGCGAAAACUCCGCAAUGCGCGAAAGCGUGACGGGGCUACCCCGAGUGCCGCCCGUUGAGGGCGGCUUUUCCACGGUGUAAGGAGCCGUGGGAAUAAGGAGAGGGCAAGACUGGUGUCAGCCGCCGCGGUAAUACCAGCUCUCCGAGUGGUGGGGACGAUUAUUGGGCUUAAAGCGUUCGUAGCCGGCUUAACAAGUCUUCCGUUAAAUCCAACGAUCUAAUCGUUGGGCUGCGGGAGAUACUGUUGGGCUAGGAGGCGGGAGAAGCCGACGGUAUUCUCGGGGUAGGGGUGAAAUCCUGUAAUCCCGGGAGGACCACCAGUGGCGAAGGCGGUCGGCUAGAACGCGCUCGACGGUGAGGGACGAAAGCUGGGGGAGCGAACCGGAUUAGAAACCCGGGUAGUCCCAGCUGUAAACGAUGCGGGCUAGGUGUUGGGGUGGCCACGAGCCACUUCAGUGCCGCAUGGAAGCAAUUAAGCCCGCCGCCUGGGGAGUACGGCCGCAAGGCUGAAACUUAA
rnacentral:rRNA from 1 species